rnacentral:rRNA from 1 species
AGUCAACCUACCCUAUGGACGGGAAUAAUCUCGGGAAACUGAGGAUAAUGCCCGAUAGAACACUAUGCCUGGAACGGUUUGUGUUCCAAAUGAUUUAUCGCCGUAGGAUGGGACUGCGGCCUAUCAGUUUGUUGGUGAGGUAAUGGCCCACCAAGACUAUUACAGGUACGGGCUCUGAGAGGAGUAGCCCGGAGAUGGGUACUGAGACACGGACCCAGGCCCUAUGGGGCGCAGCAGGCGAGAAAACUUUGCAAUGUGCGAAAGCACGACAAGGUUAAUCCGAGUGGUUCCUGCUAAAGGAACCUUUUGACGGUCCUAAAAACACCGUUGAAUAAGGGGUGGGCAAGUUCUGGUGUCAGCCGCCGCGGUAAAACCAGCACCUCAAGUGGUCAGGAUGAUUAUUGGGCCUAAAGCAUCCGUAGCCGGCUCUGUUAGUUUUCGGUUAAAUCUGUACGCUCAACGUACAGGCUGCCGGGAAUACUGCAGAGCUAGGGAGUGGGAGAGGUAGACGGUACUUGGUAGGAAGGGGUAAAAUCCUUUGAUCUAUUGAUGACCACCUGUGGCGAAGGCGGUCUACCAGGACACGUCCGACGGUGAGGGAUGAAAGCUGGGGGAGCAAACCGGAUUAGAUACCCGGGUAGUCCCAGCUGUAAACCAUGCAAACUCAAUGAUGCACUGGCUUGAAGCCAGUGCAGUGUU